UAAUAAACCUACUUAGUUAGGCUAUAGCCUAACACUUGAUAGCUCUACCGGGUUGUCUCCUUGAUUAAAUCCUUACACAUCACGACCUUUGCGCUUUCGUGCCUCUCCAACAGACAUUUUGACAUAUAUAAACACGUCUUGUUUCAGUAAAUAGAUCAAGCAUCCCACUUGGAUAUUCAUACAUGCAACCUGUAAUCUGUAUGGCAACACAAAAAAUGCAAACAAAUAGAGGCAAUGAGAACCUGGAUGAGAACACUAAUACAUUUGCUUGUGUAUUUUUGUGAAAAAGACUAUUGGAACUAAACCUACUGAAUGAACCAGGGAGAAAAAUCAAAUGUUUGUAGCUAACUAAUUCAGCUAUCUGAUCUAACAUAUAUUGCUCUGAACUAGAUAUAUAUGUGUAUAGCUGUAUAGUUCUAAACCAUAUAUAGUUCUUGGAACUAAAAAGUUCUCACGACUAUAUUCUAAACUUAUCUUGUUAUCAAGAAUGGUCAAAGAAACCUAUAUUAUGGCCUUAUGAGUAUGCAAUUUCUACCAGCUUGUAAAAUAAUUUAGAGAAAGAGAACAAAAAGUGACAUCUCACCACCUGAACGGGACACAGGUGUGUGGCAGGAAG
rnacentral:lncRNA from 1 species